UGGCGANCGACCGGGAAUUAGCCCAGCACCGAAUCCUGUAUCUUUGGUAUUAGGAAUUGUGGUGUAAAGGUUGCGUCUUUAGUUNUUUGAGUGCGCUUCAAAUUCACUUGAUUGUGAUGUUGUCCANANAGGGUGUUANACCCGUUGGAGUGUACUCGGUGGCUAUUGAUGUUUCCUAUGAGUCGGAUUGUUUGANAAUGCAGUCCAAAUCUGGUGGUAAACUCCAUCUAAGGCUAAAUACUUGUAUGAGUCCNAUANCAAACAAGUACCGUGAGGGAAANUUGAAAANAACUUUGAANAGAGAGUUAAAUAGUACGUGAAAUCGCUUANAGGUAAACNAGUGGANCCGAAAAAGUCGGACGGNAUUCAGUUGGGUGUAUGAUGAUGAUCGAUUCGGUGAAAACCACAAAAGGCAUCACUGUUUCGGUAUGUUUGUUGUACGCACAAUGCACUUUCUGUUCGAUUAGACUGUGACCAAUAGUGUUGUUUUGCUGUCGUAAUGUUGAAGGUGACCAGUUGCUUGCAAUUGGUUUUAUAGCUCAUUGCACGGUGAAAUAAUGUAUUGGUGAAUAUGCAAUCAGUCAAUGUUGAUAGUACGUUAUAUGUGCGGUUUGGUAGUYGGCUACAUGUAGACUGUUAUCAGAUCGUAUGUGUGAUGUAGUGUCGAUGGAUUGGUUUAAAGUCACAGUAUAAUGUAGGUUAUCUACUCGUCCCGUCUUGAAACACGGACCAAGGAGUUUUAUAUGAUCGCGAGUCAAAGGGCUGUACGAAACCCCAGGGCGCAAUUAAUGUAAAGGUUUACUUCAAGUAGACUGAGAUGUGACCUGAAAGUGUUUGGUCACAAGCCAAAUGCGAUCAGUGCAACAUCGACCCGUCUAAAGAUGUUCGCAUCUGGGCGGAGUUUGAGCGAUCAUGUAGAGACCCGAAAGAUGGUGAACUAUGCUUGUGCAGGUUGAAGUCAGAGGAAACUCUGAUGGAGGACCGCCGCGGUUCUGACGUGCAAAUCGAUCGUCGGACAUGAGUAUAGGGGCGAAAGACUAAUCGAACCAUCUAGUAGCUGGUUCCCUCCGAAGUUUCCCUCAGGAUAGCUGGCGUUUGUUGUCGUAGUUUUACCUGGUAAAGCGAAUGAUUAGAAGUAUUGGGGGCGAAAUGCCCUCAACUUAUUCUCAAACUUUAAAUGGGUUCGAUGUGUAGCUCGCUUCAUUGGAGUUGCACGUUGAAUACGAAUGCCUAGUGGGCCAUUUUUGGUAAGCAGAACUGGCGAUGUGGGAUGAACCAAACAUUCGGUUAAGGUGCCUAACAUCACGCUCAUGAGAUCCCACAAAAGGUGUUGGUUGAUAAAGACAGCAGGACGGUGGACAUGGAAGUCGUCAUCCGCUAAGGAGUGUGUAACAACUCACCUGCCGAAUCAACCAUCNNNNNNNNNNNNNNNNNNNNNNNNNUGAGUCCGAUAGCAAACAAGUACCGUGAGAGAAGGUUGAAAAGAACUUUGAAGAGAAAGUUUAAUAGUACGUGAAAUUGCUUAGAGUUAAACCGUGGUUACUAAGAAGCUACUGGCCUGAGUCCAGAGUGGAGGCCGGUACACCGGGUACCAGAUCUUGGUAGUAGUAGCA
rnacentral:rRNA from 1 species